UUUUAUGGUUGAGCAAAGAAAGUGGUUUCUUGAGAUGGAAUCUACUCCUGGUGAAGAUGCUGUGAA
rnacentral:pre_miRNA from 1 species